UAAAAAAAAAUUAAAAGAACAAGAGUUAAACAGAGAGGAAAAACAGAGAGGAAAGAACGGAUCUGUAGGAUUAAAAAGUGAGUCACAUACCAGACCUGGGUCUUCUUCUUCAAGCUUUCUUCCUUAAAAUCUCUUUCAAUUACUUUGAGCCAUGAAAAGCUGAAAUCUCAGCUCCAGAAAACGUAGCUACCGUAGCCCCUUUUCACCCCAAACCCGCCAUGAAAACUUAAAUCCUUACCUCCACAACAUUACCAAAGAUAGUUAAGGUUUCUGAGUCGAGGCUACCAUUCGAUAUCGUCGAGGUCACCACGAUGCUGAGAAUAAAGUUGAUUCGCUAGAGGGCUUAAAUACUUUUAACCCGUACUCACUUUCAAUACACGAGACUCUAAUUUUUAAUCCAUACAUAUUUUUAACCAUGACAAGCAGCAAUGAUGAAAUUAUGUGAAGAGGGUAGAUCAUGUUUGUCAAAAGAAUUCAAGUCAAAAGGGGAAAAUUGUUAGGAUUUUAUCCUGAUGUAUAUGAAUUUUACCUUUUCUUGAAGGAAGAAAAAAGACUUUACCAUAAUUGAUUCUACUUUUUCUAUGAGAAAAAUACAUAUCUCUUCCACAUUUAAGAGAUUCCUUUUUUGGAAGAAAAGGCUGUGACCUCUAUAAAUUGA